rnacentral:sRNA from 1 species
UUUUUUUUUUUUGGACCGGGAGAGAGCGAGGAGACACAAUGUAGGUAGCAAGAAGUCCCCGGUUCAGGUGCGGACCCGCCGACAUGGGCAACCAGAGGAUUUAUAACUGAAAUACAUUAUGAAAUUCUAGUUUCGGUUCCCAGCGAUUCUGUUAGUUGUAGAUUCUAAACUAAGAUUGUAUGGCGUUUUCCUUCACGCAGCAACUGAACUGAGUUCCAGAGAAAGGUGCUGUUUACCUAGCAUCAUCUUACCUUGGCUCAUGGUGACCCAAACCUCCGUGUAAAAUGAGAAAUCUUUCUACAGUCCAACUUACUUCCUAUGAGAAAUUGAAUGUGAAGGUCACUUCCUCAGGACUACUGAAGACUUUGAAAGGGACUAUGUUGGUCUUCCCUACGGAUGGAGGGUUUCCUGCGAUCUUAACCAUUCAACUGCCUCCUUCCCUGAAAGAAUUGAGCCAAGAUUCAGAUAAGAUUCUUCAGGCAGGUGAGAAGCUUGGGAAGAUAGAUUUAUGACCUUAGUUAGGGACUUGGCCGAACACCUAUGGGAAGACACUCAGCAUAAGAAACUACAUCUUUUCUUCUAGCAACUGUGCAUACCGACCGUCGAGAUCAAAACAGGCAGGGAAUUACUGGGUAGGCCUUAGGUGUCCAUGAGAUCCUGGGAUGGCAUGAGGCUCCAGGUAGACACAGGAGACUGCUCAGAACCUAGUUUCAACCUGGGAUAUUAUUAGACAUCAGUGAGACUCUGACAGAAGAAAAGGUACCGGUUACAUCCUCCUGACAGCAUGACACCUCAAAAAUAAUUUAGAGAAGGUAAUAGUCCCCUAAAAAUACCUGGGAAAAGCUUAGGACCCUAGAAACAUCAUAGAAAUGGAACAGGUUCCAGUGAGAAACUGGAGCAGGAUUGAGUCCAAGAGAGAACCAAGGAAAACAUUCAAGUCCAAGGAGGUCCUAAGGAAGACUUUAAGCCUUAAUGAGAAUCUAAGACAGACUUUAGAUCUGAACGAAAAUCUCUGGGAAGCCAUAGCCAUGAGUGAGAAGGAGGGGAAUGAUUUCUUCCUCAGUGAGAAUGUGGAAGACAGUUAGAACCAGUGAAAAACCACAGUUUGGAUUUGGUGAGGCCUUAGGUUUCCGUGAAUACCUUUUGAAAGCCUUGGGUUGCAGUAAGAACACCGAAAGCUCUUCUAUCCCAGGGAGGUAUUGCAGAAGACUUUUAAUGCUGUGUGAUCCUGGGGACAUUCUUAGACUGACAGAGAAUCUAGGCAAGAUCUUAGAUUCAACUUUCAAAUAUUGGCAUUGGAUUCUAUGUUCUAUAUAUGGUCUCAUUGUCUUAGGAAAUUAGAGCAACAAAUUGGCUCCAAACCUGGGGAUUAGACCCUAAGCAAUUUGAGGGAAAAUUCACUUCUCCCCAAAAUAUGCAACUAGCAGUAAUGUGGAAAUGAAACACCUAGUAGGUCUAACAAGUUUCUACAGAGCUACUGAGAAGCUCCCUCCCUAAGCCCCAUUCAAACCGUGGCAACAAGAGGCAGAAACACAUCCCAGAGCUGGGACUUAGCCAGCACCAAUGUCACAGCAUGUUUGAGGUUUUUGAGCCUAAAGAAGGACCAAGGACGCUGGGGCAGGACUUCCUGUGAAGCAUCAGAGCUUAGCAUCAAGAGGUGAAAAAAAUGGCAGCCGACUUUCCAAAGGCUUCUCCCAGGUCCAGCAGGCUGAUCAGGACAGAGAAGAACCAGACCUGCUCUACAGACUGUGUACACUGCAGGCUGCUGGAGAUCGCUGCCCAUGCUGCCAUCAGCUCUGCAAACACAAGAGUUGCCUCAUAAGCCCAGAUGCUGUGGGUCCUUCUCCAGUUAGCUCCUCCCUGCCAGUGAAAGAAUUGGAGAGUACUACAGUGUCCUGAGUUGAACACUAGAGGGAGACAAAGGCACAAAAAGCUGGAAUAAGCUUCUUGUGACUUUCAAGAACUCUCUCGGAUCCAGAGGACCCACUCUGUUUGUACAGGAAGGAGCUCCCUUUGCUGAUUCAUGGGUGGUGUCUGCCAGAUGGAUGGACUGGACAGAAACUGCAGCUUGAUGUUUCCUGGUGAGCUAGACUGCUGAAGACUUUGAAAGGGACUAUGUUGGUCUUCCCUACGGAUGGAGGGUUUCCUGCGAUCUUAACCAUUCAACUGCCUCCUUCCAUGAAAUAAUUGAGCCAAGAUUCAGAUAAGAUUCUUCAGGCAGGUGAGAUGCUUGGGAAGGUAGAUUUUUGACCUUAGUUAGGAACUUGGCCGAACACCUAUGGGAAGACACUCAGCAUAAGAAACUACAUCUUUUCUUCUAGCAACUGUGCAUACCGACCGUCGAGAUCAAAACAGGCAGGGAAUUACUGGGUAGGCCUUAGGUGUCCAUGAGAUCCUGGGAUGGCAUGAGGCUCCAGGUAGACACAGGAGACUGCUCAGAACCUAGUUUCAACCUGGGAUAUUAUUAGACAUCAGUGAGACUCUGACAGAAGAAAAGGUACCAGUUACAUCCUCCUGACAGCAUGACACCUCAAUGAUAAUUUAGAGAAGGUAAUAGUCCCCUAAAAAUACCGGGGAAAAACUUUGGACCCUGGAAACAUCAUAGAAAUGGAACAGGUUCCAGUGAGACCCUGGAGCAGGAUUGAGUCCAAGAGAGAACCAAGGAAAACAUUCAAGUCCAAGGAGGUCCUAAGGAAGACUUUAAGCCUUAAUGAGAAUCUAAGACAGACUUUAGAUCCGAAGGAAAAUCUCUGGGAAGCCAUAGCCAUGAGUGAGAAGGAGGGGAAUGAUUUCUUCCUCAGUGAGAAUGUGGAAGACUGUUAGAACCAGUGAAAAAACACAGUUUGGAUUUGGUGAGGCCUUAGGUUUCUGUGAAUACCUUUUGAAAGCCUUGGGUUGCAGUAAGAACACCAAAAGCUCUUCUAUGCCAGGGAUGUAUUGGAGAAGACUUUAAACGCUGUGUGAUCCUGGGGACAUUCUUAGACCUGACAGAGAAUCUAGGCAAAACCUUAGGUUCAACUUUGCAAUAUUGUAGGACACAGAUCGAACCCUGUCAAGGCCUGAGAUCUUGUGUUUCUCAGGAAGGCCUAACAUACCAGUGUAAUCUUUCCAGAAGUUGACGACACACCGAGAAUCUCUAAGAUCCUUUCUGUUUCACAAAGAAACUAGGGAAGACAGGAGGUCUCAAUAACACUUUGAAGAAGGCCUUUAGCCACAUGGAGAUCUUUUGGAAUGUUGGACGUCGUAUUUCGAACAUGAAGAAAGCCUUCAUUCCCUGUGAAAAUCUCGGAUGGGUUCCUAGACUGCAAUAGAAGUUAAGAAAUAUAUCGGCCCACUUGAUACCCUGUGCAUAGGCUCUAGCAAGAUGCUGUGCAAGGAAUUAGGCCACAGAUACGACUUUGGAAAGCUGUAGGCCACAGGGGUAACCUGGGAAUUCUUGUGGGCCUUGGACCAUAGGCUUCAUUGUGUCUUUGGAGGGAGGUCUUAAAGCAUACGUAGUGUUCCCAUUUAAAUUAUCCAGUCCUGCUUUUUGUAUUGUGAUGCUAAUUCUGCCCCCAGACAGCAGACCACAAAAUACCCAGGUGAUUUCAUGGGAACCGUCUUCCUAUAUUAACCUGUCAAUAAAUCUAGAGCUUCUGAUCGGAGACUAGAAGGGAAAGGUGAGACUGGAGGUUUGACGGUGGUAGCAGCUGGAGAGAGGGAAGGGCAAAAAAUCAAGGAGAGCGGCCUGUAGAGGAGGAGCUGAGAUCGACCUGAUUGCAUUGGAUUCUAUGUUCUAUAUAUGGUCUCAUUGGCUUUGGAAAUUAGAGCAACAAAUUGGCUCCAAACCUGGGGAUUAGAACCCAAGCAACUUGAGGGAAAAUUCACUCCUCCCCACUAUAGGCAAGUAGGGCUGGGCUGUAAAGUUGCCUUGGGGUGAAAAUGAAACACCUAGUGGGUCUACAAGGUUCUAUACAUCUACUGAGAAUCUCCCUCCCUAAGCCCCAUUUAGACCAUGACAGUAACCCAUCUCUGAGUUCAGACUUACCCCAGUACCAAUGUCACAACAUAGUUGGGGUUCGUUGAGCCUAAA